GCCGGAGGCGCGGGGUCCGGCGGGGCGCCUGCGAUCGGUCCCGGCGGGCAGGGCCGGCUGUCCGCGGGGAACCCGCAGCUCCUCUGGAAGUGACCGGGGUUGUAAGUGCGGUGAGACAGGGAGUGCCUAUCCCAGCGUGUUCGUGCCAUGGAGCACACGGGGCCCAGGCACUGCGGUAACGCAGCGGGCACGGGCAGCGCCGCUCGCCCGAGCCGAACCAGGAGCGGCUGGGAACGGGAGGGACACCAGGUCCAGCCUCUGGAGCAGGGACUGGCCUCUCUGCACUGCUCUGAACAGCACUGGUCUAAGGCUUGGGCCCAGCCAGAUUUGAAAACGCAGCAUGCCACCAGACUUGCUCAUUUUGUGUAUGAGGUGUGGUACUCACUCUGCGAGACAUUCGAUAUUAACUGAGUACAUCAUCUGGAAGUGACACAAACUCCUUAUUGCUAUACUGGGAGAAAUAAAAGUGACGGGAACAAAAAAGACCAGACUCUUGAUCUGCUGUUACUGUAACAAAGUGAAACAGGACAAGUUUCUUCCUUUUGGAGUGCUGCUUCCAAAACCCCACUCCAAUACUCCUGAAGCAUUGCCACAGACCUAAUAAAUUCCAGAGACCACUGGGAACAAGGUUUGGAAACACUUCAGCAGAUGAACCACUUUCUGAGGACUGAAACCUUUGUUUCAAAAACACAUUCAAUACAAUCUGACUCACAGGAGGCCUGAAGUUAAAGCCUCCUUCUCUCUUUUCCAGAUUCAGUCCAAUGAGAGAAAACUUGGACAGAGAGGAAGCCUGAAAGGAUGGUCCAGUGGAAGUCUGUGAUGGAUCUCUCUGCCUAAGAGGGUCCCCCCCAGUAAAGGUUGUUCUUUAUUGCAUCUCAGUUCUGGGAUCAAGGUGCAUGUGGCAAAGCAAGCUACUUGAUCAUUUACUCUAUGAAUUCUGAAACUGGAAAGGUUUAAGAAAACAUGCAAAAUGCUGAGGAUACACGUAAGUGAAAUAUUU